rnacentral:rRNA from 1 species
GUCUUCUUGAAUAUAUAGGAAGUCUGACCUGCCCGGUGAAUAAGUAUUUAACGGCCGCGGUAUUUUGACCGUGCAAAGGUAGCAUAAUCAUUAGUCUUUUAAUAGAGGGCUGGAAUGAAGGGUUUGACGAAAUGCUUACUGUCUCAUUUAAUUUGAAAUUUGAAUUUGACUUUUUAGUUAAAAGGCUAAAUUGUUGUUGGAAGACGAGAAGACCCUAUAGAGCUUUAUAUUUUAAAAUUUAAGAGAUUUUUGUUUCAUUAUUAUUUUUUAAAUGGAGAAAUAUUUUGUUGGGGUGACAAAAAUAUAGAAUAAACUUUUUUAUUUAUUUAACAUUGAUAUAUGAAUAUUAGAUCCAUUAUUAUUGAUUAUUAGAGAAAGUUACCUUAGGGAUAACAGCGUAAUCUUCCUUCAGAGUUCAAAUUUACAGGAAGGCUUGCGACCUCGAUGUUGGAUUAAGAUAAUAAUUAGGUGCAGCCGCUUAAUUAAUAGGUCUGUUCGACCUUUAAAUUCUU